GCCGCAGUUUCCUGUGCUAAGGUAGCACAAUAACUUGCCUUCUAAUUAAAGGAUCGAAUGAAAGGACACAUGACUUUCUUAUUUUCUCAUGUAUUUUCAAUUAACUUAACCUACAAGUAAAAAGACUUGUAUUAACAAGAAAGACGACAAGACCCUAUAGAACUUCACUAUUGUUAAACUGGGGUGGUCAACAACCAAAGCUUAUCUUCCUUAACCACACAAAGACCUGAAACUUUCAACAAAAGAACAAGUUACCUUAGGGAUAACAGAGUAAUUCCUCUCUAGACCUGUUCCAAAGAGGAGCUUUCUACCUCGAUGUUGAAUUUAAUAUUACUUUAUAAAUAAACAUUAUACAAGUAGGUCUGUUCGACCUUUAAAAUAUUACAUGAU
rnacentral:rRNA from 1 species